AUGUACUUUACGUUUGGUAAUAGUGUUCUAAAGAGGUUGCUUAUAGUACUCCUAUUUUACUUUAUUCCAUCCCUUUUUCUUUUAUUUGGAGUAUAAACUUGUCGGUACAAGACAUAUAUGAUCAGUUGUAAGAAAUCAAAAAAGAAAUAAAAAGUUCAGCUGCUUUUGUUUGCUGCAGAACUUGAUUGGAAGAUUGUUUAUACGAUUUGAGCAUGCGUAAAAGGUGCUGGAAUUAAGCUACUGCAGAUUGAAGAAAGAGCAGGAAGAUUGUUCAUACUAGAUAAUUGAACAUGCGCUGAAAAAUUGCCGGAAUUAAGGAGAAUAACAUAAUUUGUUGUCAUUUAACGAGGUUGAAGGGGAUACUCAUAACUUAUAUCAACAUGAAUUCCUAAACUCAUUUGCUCGGGGAAGUAUCCCACCACAUAUUUUAAAGGAAACAAUGCUGGAAAAAGAGCAUUCUU
rnacentral:lncRNA from 1 species